rnacentral:lncRNA from 1 species
AAUUUUAAUCUUUCAGUUUCGACCCCGUUUGGUCACCGAAAGUCCUACCGAACUGUAAUCUUUAGCAGAUAGCAGUUCGAUUUUAUUUUUCACUUUCCGGGUGUCAGAUUGACAUGAAAUUUUAAAUCUAGCCCCAUAAAAAUAAUUUUGACAUAUUCUCCAGUUUUCAAAAAUUUCUGACACUGUGCAGUUUCUGCUAAUUUAUCUGCCCCGUUUCUUACAGAAAAUUCUAAAUCUUCUGUUUUCGCUCCGAUUUCAACACAGGUCAUUUUCAACCUAUAUUUCACUUCUCUAAAUCCAAUAAAAAUAGUAUCUCACACUAUUUUUAUUUAUUUUUACUUUUAUAUCAAAAUCUGAUAUGUUACAA